UUGAACAACUGAAUAGUUUUGGAAGAUAGAUUUUCAAUAUUUUUUAAUGACCAAAUCACGAGAAUUUUUAGUAUAAAUAUGUUAAAGUUCAACUGCUCUUUUAUAAUCAACUUCUUUGCGCUUCCUAGUUCUGGUCCCUAUAACUUCAGUUGUUGCAAAAUGAAAACUUCUAUUUCAAUCAUAAUUGUUGCGGUCGUAACUUUGGUAUUAAUGGCAGCGCCAUCACAAGCCAGCCGUUACAAGAAUAGUCCACGACGACACAAUAAGAAACAUAAUUAAUUUUAACUUUCGCCAAAAAUGCAAGACCUCAUAACUAUAUGUUAACCUUUUUCGCAAUGCAAUGCGCAAUGUAUAAAAAGUUAUAAGCAAAUGUUAUGUAAACUGAGAAAUUAUAAAUAAAUAUAUUUUCUGAUUUAAAAAAAAAA